CUUUGAAGUGUGGACGCCAGUCUGCAUGGAGCCGACCUUGAAAUACCACCCUUUAAUGUUUGAUGUUCUAACGUUGGCCCGUAAUCCGGGUUGCGGACAGUGUCUGGUGGGUAGUUUGACUGGGGCGGUCUCCUCCUAAAGAGUAACGGAGGAGCACGAAGGUUGGCUAAUCCUGGUCGGACAUCAGGAGGUUAGUGCAAUGGCAUAAGCCAGCUUGACUGCGAGCGUGACGGCGCGAGCAGGUGCGAAAGCAGGUCAUAGUGAUCCGGUGGUUCUGAAUGGAAGGGCCAUCGCUCAACGGAUAAAAGGUACUCCGGGGAUAACAGGCUGAUACCGCCCAAGAGUUCAUAUCGACGGCGGUGUUUGGCACCUCGAUGUCGGCUCAUCACAUCCUGGGGCUGAAGUAGGUCCCAAGGGUAUGGCUGUUCGCCAUUUAAAGUGGUACGCGAGCUGGGUUUAGAACGUCGUGAGACAGUUCGGUCCCUAUCUGCCGUGGGCGCUGGAGAACUGAGGGGGGCUGCUCCUAGUACGAGAGGACCGGAGUGGACGCAUCACUGGUGUUCGGGUUGUCAUGCCAAUGGCACUGCCCGGUAGCUAAAUGCGGAAGAGAUAAGUGCUGAAAGCAUCUAAGCACGAAACUUGCCCCGAGAUG
rnacentral:rRNA from 1 species